CAGUCUCAGAUCGAUGAAGAACGCAGCGAAAUGCGAUAAGUAGUGUGAAUUGCAGAAUUCAGUGAAUCAUCGAAUCUUUGAACGCACAUUGCGCCCCUUGGUAUCCCGAGGGGCAUGCCUGUUCGAGCGUCAUUUCACCACUCAAGCCUGGCUUGGUGUUGGGCGACGUCCCCUUUGGGGACGCGCCUCGAAACGCUCGGCGGCGUGGCACCGGCUUUAAGCGUAGCAGAAUCUUUCGCUUUGAAAGUCGGGGCCCCGUCUGCCGGAAGACCUACUCGCAAGGUUGACCUCGGAUCAGGCAGGGAUACCCGCUGAACUUAA
rnacentral:rRNA from 1 species